AAAAAGGAAAGGGAAGAAAAUGUAAAAAGACUUAAUACGUCUGCUGUUGUUUUUUGCUCUGUUGUUUUUGUCACUAUGACAAAAGUCUACAUUUACUCUUGUCUCCUAUCUGCUCUGACUGUUCUGCAGAUGCAGCCUCUCUACAUAAAGGGUCAUGUUGGGCAAGGUGUAACAUUUACAUGUUCCAGCUGGGAUGUUUGGUUGACUGAUGUUAAAUCUUAUGAUAAGUAUCUUUGUGAAAGUCCAUGCGAGAGAGAACUACACAUCAUCAUCAAAGCAGCAUCUGGAGAAACUAAAAACAAGAAUAGAAUAUACAUAAACAACAGCGCAACUGGUUUAUCUGUGACCUUCACCAAUCUCCAGAUAUCAGACUCUUAACACAAACAUAUGUGGACUGGAGAGGAUUGGCCCUGACCCAUACAUAGAGGUGAAUCUUAAAGUUACAGAUGCUCCUAAAUCAGUCACCCAUGGGUUAGCUAUCAUAUUUAUUGCAGCCUUGGUGAUGGAACUUGCACAAGUGCUCAGAGGAAGAAUUGCAUCGUUAUGUGCUUUCCCUGGGCCUCAUCCCUCCUGGCGGAUCAUCGUUCUGCUUUGCAGGAGGGUUACACCUGGAAUCAUCACUCCCUCCAAAAGUCCAGUAAUGACAUCCCCCUUUCCGACAAUGCUGAUCAUCAGUGAUUUCAUCAUCAGGGAUGUCUGUAAAAAAUUGCAAAAACCUUGUUCUUUCCUGGAGCCACUGUGAGGGAUUUGACUGAAAAAAUCCCCAACCUUUUAGAAAACCAUUCCACAGCAACUACGCUUGUGAUUCAUGUUGGUACAAACGACAUCAGUCUCCAGCAGUCUGAACUGCUGAAACAUGAUUUUAGCCUUCUUUUUAACUUGCUGAAAGGCCACCGUGGGAAAAGAUUCUUUAGCUCUGGUCCAAUUCCUACAUUGCGCCAUAGACUUCUCAGCUUGCAUACAUGGCUCCAUUCACACUGUUCCACACAUGGGCGUUUUUAUAUAGACAAUUUUGAUCUCUUGGAAACGUUCCUCAUAUAGAAAAGAUGGACUACACCCCAGCUGCCUGGGUUCACGGAUGUUAACUGCAAACAUUCUCCACAGUGUCUCAGCUUCUGAUCAUUUGAAACACCUGUGCCACUGUGGACACAGACUCUGCCAACAGCCUCCUCCAACACCCCCUACAGGUAUGGAUUCUGUCUCUCAACAGUAAGUCUGUUUUAACUGGUUGUUUAUUUAUCUUUCAGACAGAGUUCUUUGUUGAAAUUGAAAAUAACCUCUUCUCAAAAUAACCUGUGGGGUUCCAUAAGGAUCGAUUUUAGGGCCACUUCUUUUUUAUCUGUAUUAGUUACCCCUUGGUGAUGUCAUCAGGAGACACAACAUCUCUUUCCAGUUAUACUGACCCAUAACUUGAUAUGGCCGUGUCUCCUGAUAAUACAGGACUAACUGAUUCCCUGUUGAGAUAUAUUUUUGAUGUUAAGAUCUGGAUGUCGCAAGACUUUUUACAGUUCAACCAAAAUAAAACUGAAAUUUUAGUCAUAGGCUCUAAAGCUCAGAGAGAGAAACUGGUUUCAGUAAGCAUGAAACCUUGGUGUGGUCUUCAAUUCAAAUCUGAACUUUAAGGCUCAUGUGGGGUUUGUCUCCAAAUCUUCAUUUUCCCACCUCAAAAAUAUAACUAAAAUGCGACCAUUUCUCUCUCUGAGUGACACAGAAAAACUUAUGGAUGCUUACAUAUUGAGCAGGGUUACUACUACUACUAUAAUGCUCUGCUAUCAGGUCCAAAGAUGUUAUAAAUCAGCUACAGCUGAUUCAGAACUCUGAAUCUGACCAGGAGCAGAAGGACCGAAUACAUUCCAGCUGUCACACAUUACAUCUAAGUCCUUACACUGGUUGUCUGUCAGUUUCUAUAUUGCUAUUUUUAUUUUUAUUUUUUUUAGUUGCUUUUCAAGCACUGGCACUCUUGCACCAGCACAUACUGUAUGCCUCACAUGCUUACAGUGUAUGACACAGUACAGCCCCUUACGUCCUCUGGCACAAGUGUGUUAGUUACUGCAAAGUGCAGGCAGCUUUUUUUUUAUGCUGCGAGCUGCUACAACAGUCUGCCUGAGGGCCUGAGAGUAGCUUGAAGUGUUAAAAUCUUAAAUCUUCAGCCUGACUUUUUUUUAUUAAGUAUGGUUUAUAGUUAUUAUAUACUUACUUUUUUAUUGUUUUAUUCUGUCUAUGUUGUCAUUUUUUAUUUUGUUAUUUUAUUCAUGUUAUUUUUCCCUUCCAUUGAUUUAAAAAAUAUUUUAAUUAGGUUUUAGUCUACCUUUUACCUAACUCUAUUUUAUUAGUAUAGUAGUAUUAGCUUUGAAGGUGCUUUGAAUAGCUUUUAAAAUCUAUCUUACUGUAUUACAUUGUCAUCAUUUUUAUAUGUAUAUGUAUCAUUUCUAGUCUUUCAUGCUAUUACAGUACACUUUUUCUGUCUUACUAUCGGCUUUUCAGUCAUCUGUGAAGCAUUUCAAACUGCAUUAACCUGUA